AUUGAACGCUGGCGGCAGGCCUAACACAUGCAAGUCGAGCGAGCGGCGGACGGGUGAGUAAUGUCUGGGAAACUGCGUGAUGGAGGGGGAUAACUACAGGAAACGGUAGCUAAUACCGCAUACCAUCAGAUGUGCCCAGAUGGGAUUAGAUAGUAGGUGGGGUAACGGCUCACAUAGGCGACGAUCCCUAGCUGGUCUGAGCGGAUGAUCAGCCACACUGGAACUGAGACACGGUACAGACUCCGACGGGAGGCAGCAGUGGGGAAUAUUGCACAGUGGGCGCAAGCCUGAUGCAGCCAUGCCGCGUGUGUGAAGAAGGCCUUCGGGUUGUAAAGCACUUUCAGCGGGGAGGCGUUACCCACAGAGGAAGCACCGGCUAACUCCGUGCCAGCCGCCGCGGUAAUUC
rnacentral:rRNA from 1 species